AAGUCGUAACAAGGUUUCCGUAGGUGAACCUGUAUGACAUAGCCACUCUCGAGCAAAUUACCAUUUGUUCUUUAGACGACGAGCUUGAGAAAGUGCUGAACGUGGCCUUCCCACUAGUACACCGAAAAGAACGUCUUUGAGCAGGCCGCGAUAAUACGCAGUCGACCAAAAACCGAACACUGUUAACAGUGGAUAUCUUGGUUCUC
rnacentral:misc_RNA from 1 species